CACUCUGGUUGCAGUUGGGGCUUGGUUUUCUUCUGGCCUCUGCUCUGUAGCUGUGUGCUGCCUGUGCCGCCCUCUGCUGAGUGCCAGCCUCUGCUGCCAUUGGUCUGGGAUUCUUGCCAUGCUUUUUUGUCCUUUGACCACUGUGUGGGGCAGAAGAUUCUGGACAAAGAGGGAAAGGAAUGGUUUCAUUUCGUUGGAGAUUGAAUGAAUAUCUGUUGAAAAAAUCAGAUGUUGUGGAGAAAGCUAAAAAGAAGCUAAAGGACUAUUUUGAAUUGAAUUGAAAUCAAGGAAUGGACAAUAAAACAAUUUGG